rnacentral:lncRNA from 1 species
UGGGGUAACUGCCAUUCUGUCCUAAAAAAGUGUCCAAUGUUGUACGGGCAGUGUCCCAAACGGAAUCACAGAGAGAGAGAGGAGAAGAGGGAGAGAGAGAGAGGAGAGAGGAGAGGAGAGAAGAAAAGAGACAAAGAGGAGAGAGGAGAGAGAGAGAGGAGAGAGGAGAGCAGAGAGACAAGGAGACAGAGAGAGAGAGGAGAGCAGAGAGACAGGAGACAGAGAGAGGAGAGAGGAGAGCAGAGAGACAGGAGACAGAGAGAGAGGGAGAGAGAGAGGAGAGAGGAGACGGAGAGGAGGAAAAGAGACAGAGAGGAAAGAGGGAGAGAGAGAGGGAAAGGAGAGGGAAGAGAGACAGGAGACAGAGAGAGAGGGAGAGAGAGAGGAGAGGAGGAGAGGAGAGGAAGAAAGGAGAUAGAGAGGAGAGAGGAGAGAGAAGAGGACAGGAGACAGAAGAGAGAGGGAGAAGAGAGGAGAGAGGAGAGGCAGAAGGAGAUAGAGAGGAGAGGAGAGAGACAGAGAGAGAGGGAGGAAAAAAGAGGGAAUUUGAUUUUUUUAGGGUCCCUUGUGUGAAGGCGAUCAAAAAGCCAGGGGCGGGAAUCU